rnacentral:tRNA from 1 species
CAAAGUGUAGCUUAUAUAAAGCACCUGGCCUACACCCAGAAGAUUCCAUAUUAAACUGGCCACUUUGA